rnacentral:lncRNA from 1 species
GUUUGAUUAGGAACCAUGGUUGACACAAGUAUUUAUCACCUGAUAGAGUUUGACUUUUAUUUUUAUAGCCAUGCUGGCAUAAAGGUGAUACUUUUUUUGUACUUCUUCUAUUUUUUUUAUGCAAACCAAUAUAUUAUCAUAUACUGCUGAAUGAGAAUCAUUUUUCUACUAAUACAUUAUAGAUGCUAACUAAUAAUCUUACAUAAUAUCUGAUCUCUAUGAUAGAGGAUCGACAUUGGUUGGCAGGUCUAGAGAUAGGUCUACCGCA